rnacentral:tRNA from 1 species
UCCCUGGUGGUCCAGUGGUUAAGACACCACCCUCCCAAUGAAGGGGCCCGGGUUCAACCCCCGGCCAAGGAA